UUAAAGGCCCUUUUCAGGGCCACCCACAGAUUGAUUUAAAUGCAUU
rfam:Schistosoma margrebowiei strain Zambia genome assembly, scaffold: SMRZ_contig0010226